rnacentral:rRNA from 1 species
UACGUAGGCAGCGAGCGUUGUUCGGAGUUACUGGGCGUAAAGCGUCUGUAGGUGGUUUAAUAAGUCAACUGUUAAAUCUUGAGGCUCAACCUCAAAAUCGCAGUCGAAACUAUUAGGCUAGAGUAUAGUAGGGGUAAAGGGAAUUUCCAGUGGAGCGGUGAAAUGCGUAGAGAUUGGAAAGAACACCGAUGGCGAAGGCACUUUACUGGGCUAUUACUAACACUCAGAGACGAAAGCUAGGGUAGCAAAUGGG